GGGGUUGUAGCUUAGUAGUAAAGUGCUUGCCUAGCAUGCGUGAGGACCUGGGUUCAAUCCUCAGCACCA
rnacentral:tRNA from 1 species